rnacentral:tmRNA from 1 species
UGGGUUUGCAAGCGGCUCACUUGCGCCUAUAUUGGGCGUGCCGCGCAAGCGGCUAUGGCGCUAAACCUAUUGUGAAAUAAGCAUAACGGACCCGGGGGCAGUGCCCGGCGCCUCCACCAUCUCUUCCCGCCGCCACCGAUUGCGGGACGUCACGGGGGCGAAACAGGCUCGACGUGUGCAGUAAAGACAGUAGUUGUUCCCGGCAUGGUACCACCGUCAUCGGGCCAUUUGUAAAAGUGCCAACGACAACGUUGCACUCGUUGAGGACGUUCGUCUCGCUGCCUAACGGCCGCUAGACUAAAUGUCCAAAGCGCGGUUCGGAGGGCACCGGGCAACAGAAGCCCUCCACU